rnacentral:rRNA from 1 species
UACGGGGGGGGCAAGCGUUGUUCGGAAUUACUGGGCGUAAAGGGUUCGUAGGUGGCCAACUAAGUCAGACGUGAAAUCCCUCAGCUUAACUGGGGAACUGCGUCUGAGACUGGAUGGCUUGAGUGCAGGAGAGGAACGCGGAAUUCCAGGUGUAGCGGUGAAAUGCGUAGAUAUCUGGAGGAACACCGGUGGCGAAGGCGGCGUUCUGGACUGCUACUGACACUGAGGAACGAAAGCCAGGGGAGCAAACAGG